GACGAACGCUGGCGGCGUGCCUAAUACAUGCAAGUAGGACGCAGUUGCGAACGGGUGAGUAACGCGUCGGUAACUGCCUAUUAGAGGGGGAUAACUAUUGGAAACGAUAGCUAAUACCGCAUACUAGUAGAUGGACCUUCUUUGUAUUAGCUAGUGGGUAGGGUAAUGGCCUACCUAGGCGACGAUACAUAGCCGACCUGAGAGGGUGAUCGGCCCCACUGGGACUGGGACACGGCCCCGACUCCUACGGGAGGCAGCAGUAGGGAAUCGUCGGCAAUGGGGGGAACCCUGACCGAGCAACGCCGCGUGAGUGAAUAAGGUUUUCGGAUCGUAAAGCUCUGUUGUUAAGGAAGCGUUACUUAACCAGAAAGGGACGGCUAACUACGUGCCAGCCGCCGCGGUAAUUC
rnacentral:rRNA from 1 species